rnacentral:rRNA from 1 species
GACGAACGCUGGCGGCGUGCUUAACACAUGCAAGUCGAACGGAAAGGCCUGCUUUCCCUUGUGGAUUGCGGGUACUCGAGUGGCGAACGGGUGAGUAACACGUGAGUGAUCUGCCCCCAACUUGGGUAUAAGCCUGGGAAACUGGGUCUAAUUCCCGAUAGGACUGCAGGGUGGUGCCUGUGGUGGAAAACGAUUUUCUAGUGGUUGGGGAUGAGCUCGCGGCCUAUCAGCUUGUUGGUGGGGUAAUGGCCUACCAAGGCGGCGACGGGUAGCCGGCCUGAGAGGGGGGACGGCAAAAUUGGGACUGAGAUACGGCCCAGACUCCUACGGGAGGCAGCAGUGGGGAAUAUAGCACAAUGGGCGGAAGCCUGAUGCAGCGACGCCGCGUGGGGGAUGACGGCCUUCGGGUUGUAAACUCCUUUCGACCGCGAGGAAGCCACCUGGUUGGAAGGGUGGUGACGGUAGUGGUAGAAGAAGCACCGGCUAACUACGUG